rnacentral:rRNA from 1 species
UACGUAGGGACCAAGCGUUGUUCGGAUUUACUGGGCGUAAAGGGCGCGUAGGCGGCAAUUCAAGUCAGCUGUGAAAUCUCCGGGCUUAACUCGGAACGGUCAGCUGAUACUGCUUUGCUAGAGUGCAGAAGGGGCAAUCGGAAUUCUUGGUGUAGCGGUGAAAUGCGUAGAUAUCAAGAGGAACACCUGAGGUGAAGACGGGUUGCUGGGCUGACACUGACGCUGAGGCGCGAAAGCGUGGGGAGCGAACAGG